rnacentral:lncRNA from 1 species
CUUCCUCAAAAAGAUUCGUCCUCGAAUCUGAAAAAUCAAAUGAACUCGACUUUCCUCUAUCGAACGGGACUAAUGGCAAUUGAGUCCACUGAAAAGAAUAGCCAUGAGAUAGUAAAUAGCAACGGAAACAAGCUUGUAGUCCAAUCAUAAGCAUAACAGAACAGGUAUAACGCAUGUGAAUGGACAGAUUCAGAUUACCAUGCAAACAAUCUAAUUUACUCACCACUGCCUCGUCAAAUAUUUGAAACAAAGAUGGACAUGUUUUAAGGCAUUCAGUCGUCUCACAUUGUUCCCACAAACCAUGAAUAAAUUACGAGUAAUAAAUCAAAUGGUAAACAUAAUCGUCACAAGUAGGUAUUUGAAAAGAUUCACAUGGU